UACGGGAGGCAGCAGUGGGGAAGUAUUGCACAAUGGGCGAAAGCCUGAUGCAGCUAUGCCGCGUGUAUGAAGAAGGCCUUAGGGUUGUAAAGUACUUUCAUCGGGGAGGAAAAAACAAAACUAAUAAUUUUAUUUCUUGACGUUACCCGAAAAAGAAGCACCGGCUAACUCCGUGCCAGCAGCCGCGGUAAUACGGAGGGUGCUAGCGUUAAUCAGAAUUACUGGGCGUAAAGAGCACGUAGGUGGUUUUUUAAGUCAGAUGUGAAAUCCCUGGGCUUUAACCUAGGAACUGCAUUUUGAAACUGAAAUACUAGAGUAUCGUAGAGGGAGGUAGAAUUCUAGGUGUAGCGGUGAAAUGCGUAGAUAUCUGGAGGAAUACCUGUGGCGAAAGCGGCCUCCUAAACGAAUACUGACACUGAGGGUGCGAAAAGCGUGGGGAGCAAAACAGGGAUUAGAUACC
rnacentral:rRNA from 1 species